GAAAUGCGAUAAGUAAUGUGAAUUGCAGAAUUCAGUGAAUCAUCGAAUCUUUGAACGCACAUUGCGCCCCCUGGUAUUCCGGGGGGCAUGCCUGUUCGAGCGUCAUUUCACCACUCAAGCCUCGCUUGGUAUUGGGCAACGCGGUCCGCCGCGUGCCUCAAAUCGACCGGCUGGGUCUUCUGUCCCCUAAGCGUUGUGGAAACUAUUCGCUAAAGGGUGUUCGGGAGGCUACGCCGUAAAACAACCCCAUUUCUAAGGUUGACCUCGGAUCAGGUAGGGAUACCCGCUGAACUUACGC
rnacentral:misc_RNA from 1 species